UACGUAGGUGGCAAGCGUUAUCCGGAUUUACUGGGUGUAAAGGGCGUGUAGGCGGGAGUGCAAGUCAGAUGUGAAAACCACGGGCUCAACCUGUGGCCUGCAUUUGAAACUGUACUUCUUGAGUACUGGAGAGGCAGACGGAAUUCCUAGUGUAGCGGUGAAAUGCGUAGAUAUUAGGAGGAACACCAGUGGCGAAGGCGGCUUACUGGACAGUAACUGACGUUGAGGCUCGAAAGCGUGGGGAGCAAACAGG
rnacentral:rRNA from 1 species